GUUGAGCGGAGAUAUAUGGAGCUUGCUUUAUAUAACUUAGCAGCGAACGGGUGAGUAACACGUAGAUAAUCUAUCCUAUACUGGGGGAUAGCCCGAUGAAAGUUGGAUUAAUACCGCAUAUAGCUAUAUAGUUGCAUGAUUAUGUAGUGAAAGAUUUAUUGGUAUAGGAGGAGUCUGCGGCACAUUAGCUAGUAGGUGAGGUAAAGGCUUACCUAGGCGACGAUGUGUAGCCGGUCUGAGAGGAUGAACGGCCACAAUGGAACUGAGACACGGUCCAUACUCCUACGGGAGGCAGCAGUGGGGAAUAUUGCACAAUGGGGGAAACCCUGAUGCAGCAACGCCGCGUGAGUGAAGAAGGUUUUCGGAUUGUAAAGCUCUGUUAGCAGGGAAGAGGAAGGACGGUACCUGCAGAGGAAGCCACGGCUAACCACGUGCCAGCAGCCGCGGUAAUACGUAGGUGGCAAGCGUUGUUCGGAAUAACUGGGCGUAAAGGAUGCGUAGGCGGUUAAACAAGUUAUAUGUUAAAUAUAUAGGCUUAACCUGUAGAAAGCAUAUAAAACUGUUUAACUAGAGUGCAGGAGAGGUAAGUGGAAUUCCUAGUGUAGCGGUGAAAUGCGUAGAGAUUAGGAAGAACACCAGUGGCGAAGGCGACUUACUGGACUGUAACUGACGCUGAGGCAUGAGAGCAUGGGGAGCAAACAGGAUUAGAUACCCUGGUAGUCCAUGCUGUAAACGAUGGGUACUAGGUGUGGGUUGUGAAUAACAAUUCGUGCCGUCGCAAACGCAAU
rnacentral:rRNA from 1 species